ACAGAUCCAUUCUCUCAACCGUCAUCAUACAUUUGUUCUUCCUCACAUGAAGUUUCGAUUGGAGAAGGCAACAACAAUAUGGCUAAAGAGAGAAAGCAACAAGGGAACAAUCCCUCGCAUAAGGGCGAAGGCAUGGCCAAUUUUAGGUGGUCCCGGUAUCAUGGAGAGGCAGGUGGCGAAGUUGAGAUGUCACAUUUAAUAUGGAUGUGAGACUUGAAUAUUAUUGUUUGAUAAUUAGAGUGUAAUGUUUGAUUAUAAUUGUUAUAUUUAUUAAUUAAUGUUAUUGUUGAUUAAGUGGAACACAUGAUCAAUAUGUAAUUUUAGCGAUUUGUAUAUGUGUGAUAGUAUCAAUGUGUUGUGUUGGCUUGUUGAUAGAAGAGUAAAUUAGGAUUGAAUGGAUAUGAUUUCAAUUCUAUAAAGAAAACAAGUUAGGAGAAAUUUUUGUUUUAAUUGAAUUUUCGGUCCAACAGUAAAAGGGUAUUUUUGCCUUUAUUAAUUGGUGUAAAAAUUAAUAUAAGGAGUGUAGAAACUAAAAGAAUAAAAUUAAAAUCUAAAAUUAAAAGAUUAUGUUGAUCAUUGAGAGAUUUAGUGGUUAGUGGUAUUUUAAGAAGUAGAUAAGAUAAAAUAAGAGAGAAAAUUUUAGUGGUUUUAAAAGAUUAAGUGAGAGAUUUUAUUUUAACAAAAAAGAUAAAGAUAAAGUGAAAAAAGAUAAAAAGAGAAGAGGAAAAAGGAGUUACACAUGGUUACCCUAAAUUUGAAAAUGAAAUUGAGAGUGAUAAGGGAGAAAAAAGACGUUUUCUAGGAGAAAAAGAGAAAGAGUUGUAGAAAACCUUAGUGCAAGGGAUGAUUCUUGAUGUUUUUGAAGUUAGAUAAAGCCCUAGUACUGACCAAUGUAUGUGAAAGCUUACCUUUGUUUGUUUUCUUAUUUGUUUGUAUGAUGAAUAAGGUUUGCUUUAGAUUAUCUUGAAAGGUAAUGUUGUUUUGAUGCAUGUGGAUGCAUGAGAAUAUGUUUUGAAUGGUGAUAGGGUUAUAUCAUGGUUAUGUUGGGUUUUCCCUAUGAAUGUAUGUAUGGUUUUACUCGGUUAUCCCAUAUUAGGGUUUAAUGCUAAGGGGGAAACAAAGUUGUGUGGGGGUGAAUGUGUCUUCCUUGUCCUAGUGUGGUAGGGUUACACAUUUCUUAGCUGGAUUGCGGGACUGCUCGAGCGUAUUUGUAUGGAGAAUUUAUAGAUGAGAAUGUAGGAGCGGCUACAGUUGGUGAUGUAAGGUACAAGAGUGUGACUGAUUCUUUCCACUAUGGUGUUAUGGUAUGGUGAUGCUCAUGGUGUUGUUCAUGACUGGGAUAGUCAUGAUGGUCGGGGUAUCUAUGAUGAUGAUCAUGUUUGAGAAGUUGUAUGUGAUACUAUGUGAUAGCGGUGUUACUGUAAUAGUUAUAGUAAGUAGUUAACAUAGGUGUUAAUGAGUGGAUAUAUGUGUGAGAUGUUAGUGAUGACAUCAAGGGUUAGAGAUUAAGGAUCGAGGAUCGAGGAUCGACUAAUUCAUUGUGAUUGAAUUGUUUAUGUUAAAGGAUUAAGAAUUCUAUUGUUAUUACUACUAUGUAUGGGGUGUUUGAUUAUUGUUGAUAUAAUCAAUAUGUUUAUACCCUGUUAUUAUGAUUGCUUUCCCGAUAGCUUACCUCAUAUGUGUUUGUCUCUGUGUGUUGUGAAUGAUAUUAUUGGCGAUGAUUAUAUAAUGUGUUACACAUGAGUAGAUGAUGUCGCAGAUGAUGUCGCAGAUGAUGCUGAGGUAUGAUAGAUUCGAGAGAUGACAAUGCACAAACUUGGGAUUUUAUUUAAAGUUAUUACGUUUGAACAAUGUAAUUAAAGUCAUUUUAUUUUCUUCGUUAUUUCAUUGGACACAUGUUUUAGAACCAUUAUGUU
rnacentral:lncRNA from 1 species